rnacentral:rRNA from 1 species
GCAUAACGCGAAGAACCUUACCAAGGCUUGACAUGCAUCUCUAAGCACGUGAAAGCGUGUGACCCUUCGGGGAAUUUGCACAGGUGCUGCAUGGCCGUCGUCAGCUCGUGUCGUGAGAUGUUGGGUUAAGUCCCGCAACGAGCGCAACCCUUGUGACUAGUUGCCAGCACGUUAUGGUGGGAACUCUAGUCAGACUGCCCAGAUCAACUGGGAGGAAGGUGGGGACGACGUCAGGUCAGUAUGGCCCUUACGCCUAGGGCUGCACACGUACUACAAUGCCCAGCACAAUGAGAACCGAGACCGCGAGGUAGGGGAAAUCUAAAAAACUGGGCCCAGUUCGGAUUGGAGGCUGCAACUCGCCUCCAUGAAGUUGGAAUCGCUAGUAAUGGCGCAUCAUCUACGGCGCCGUGAAUACGUUCCCGGGUCUUGUACACACCG